GUGGGGAAUUUUGCGCAAUGGGGGAAACCCUGACGCAGCGACGCCGCGUGGAGGAUGAAGGUCUUCGGGUUGUAAACUCCUUUUCUUAGGGAAAAUGAUGAUGGUACCUAAGGAAUAAGCCACGGCUAACUCUGUGCCAGCAGCCGCGGUAAGACAGAGGUGGCGAGCGUUGUUCGGAAUUACUGGGCUUAAAGGGCGAGUAGGCGGUGGAGCAAGUCUGAGGUGGAAGCCUAUGGCUUAACCAUAGAACUGCCUUGGAUACUGUUUCACUUGAGUCAGUAAGGGGAGGGCGGAAUUCCCGGUGUAGCGGUGAAAUGCGUAGAUAUCGGGAGGAAGGCCAGUGGCGAAGGCGGCCCUCUGGUGCUGAACUGACGCUGAGGCGCGAAAGCGUGGGGAGCAAACAGGAUUAGAAACCCCUGUAGUCC
rnacentral:rRNA from 1 species